UACGUAGGGGGCGAGCGUUGCUCGGAAUUACUGGGCGUAAAGGGUGUGCAGGUGGCUGAGCAAGUCAACGAUGAAAUCCCGAGGCUCAACUUCGGAAUUGUCUUUGAUACUGCUUGGCUUGAGGACAGUUGAGGAGGGCGGAAUUCCCGGUGGAGCGGUGAAAUGCGUAGAUAUCGGGAGGAACACCUGAGGCGAAGGCGGCUCUCUAAACUGCUCCUGACACUGAGACACGAAAGCUAGGGGAGCAAACGGGAUUAGAAACCCUGGUAGUCC
rnacentral:rRNA from 1 species